AACUGUAGAGCUCACAAUGGAGCAGAUGCAGACGAUCACAGAUAAGGGAUUUGGGAGGGUUUAAGCUAGCGGUGCCAUUAGGGCCAGCUGUGUUGGUGGCUAACUCUCCUCUGAAUCAUUAAUGGAGGUGCGUUCUCCGAGGCCAGCAGCAGAAGGAUUUCACUCUCUGCUGUCGUCCCCUCUCUUCAGACAGCGGCAGACAUUUGUUUUGCAGCAGAAGCUCAAUUUUCUCCAAUAACCACUUACAGAGCCGAGGACACUGGAGACGGAGUGAGAGGUGAACAAUAGAGCGAGAAUAAAUGGACAGAGAGAGACACAAGAGGACGUGUUGAGGCUUGAUGACAUGACACAGGCUGUGAUGAACUGUUGCAGAGAGAAAGUGAGGUUAACUGGAAGCUUCAGCGCGGCUGAAAGGACGAGAUGUCGUCACAAGUCUCCUGCAUGUUUUUGUAUUUACCAUUUGAAAUGAAGGACAAACUAAAAGUACUGUAGUAGUACAAAGAACACCAGAUUUAGUGUGUACACUUUCAAAGUUGAACAGUUUAAAACAUAUUUACAAUAACGUUUUUUGUCUCAACGUCAGUGCCUUUCUCUGAUUCUCUGCCUUCCUGCGACAGCACGAGUGAAAUUACCGUAAUAACCACCCGAUUGCUUUGAUGUGCAACUUCUCAGUUUUCAGAAACUGUCGCGUGAUUACUUGUAUUCCUGAAGCUGUGUUUCCACAGAGUGGAACGGUUCGGCUCGGCACAGUGUGGCAGACCUGCAACAAAUGACCAGAAAAUAUCAGAAAA